UAGAUAUGGAGAUGCUCAAAUCUCUGUCACCAGAUUCACCUGAGCAACAGGAGUACAUCACAGCCAUCCAAAAUGAGGAUGGAUACAACUGGGGAUUGUACAAUUGACAGCAUCCGGAAAAUUUGAGGAAGCUUUGGCAUUGUUUAAGCUACUUGCACCAGAAGAUUCAAACCUUCGAGCCUCAAAGUAGUAGUCAAUUCAUAUCAGAUGACAUGGACACUUCUUCACCUUCUCAUACAGUGAAGAGGUUAUAUCAGAUGCUGUUGAACACACCCAUGAAAGCAAUCGAUCCAAAAGAUCAAACAAGGGGAGAGUCAACAUGCCCCUUGACUCAGGUGCUAGAGAGAUGGCAUCAAUAUUAGAGAGAUGGGAUCUCUGGGAAUCUUCAAAAGGAAAUGGUAUGUUACUCUUUGAUAAUGUCAACAUCAUUCAUCAAUUAUGUUGUGGGGUGAGUAGACUGCAUAUAAUGAUGUUCAAACUUUUAUAAAGAUUCCUGAAUUAUAUUUGAAUUUUCUUUUGUUUACUCUUCAUGAAGGGGGUUCUAGAAGCAAUUCGUAUAAG